rnacentral:rRNA from 1 species
CGAGGCGAACCGGGGAAACUGAAACAUCUCAGUACCCCGAGGAAAAGAAAUCAACCGAGAUUCCCCCAGUAGCGGCGAGCGAACGGGGAGCAGCCCAGAGUCAACAUCAAUAUUUACCACAGGAGAAGGGUCUGGAAAGGCCGGCAAUAAAGGGUGAUAGCCCCGUAUCUAAAGCGGUAAGUGUUGUGAACUCGAAGAGUAGGGCGGGACACGUGUUAUCCUGUCUGAAUAUGGGGGGACCAUCCUCCAAGGCUAAAUACUCCUGACUGACCGAUAGUGAACCAGUACCGUGAGGGAAAGGCGAAAAGAACCCCGGCGAGGGGAGUGAAAUAGAACCUAAAACCGUGUACGUACAAGCAGUAGGAGCACCCGAAAGGGUGUGACUGCGUACCUCUUGUAUAAUGGGUCAGCGACUUAUAUUCUGUAGCAAGGUUAACCGCAUAGGGGAGCCGUAGGGAAACCGAGUCUUAACUGGGCGUUAAGUUGCAGGGUAUAGACCCGAAACCCGGUGAUCUAGCCAUGAGCAGGUUGAAG